UUAAUAAUGCUCAGGACUCCAAACAGGUAAUGGUAGAAAAAAGAUGUAUUUAUUGAUAAAAGGUGAAUAUCAAUAAAUACAUCUUUUUUCUACCAUUACCUGUUUGGAGUCCUGAGCAUUAUUAA